GUGCUACUUUAAAAGUACAUACAUUAAAAAGGAAAUGAUACAGAGAAGAUUAGUACGGCUUUUGUACCCGAAUAACACGAAAAAGUGAUAAUUAAUUUAAUGUUUA
rnacentral:snRNA from 1 species